rnacentral:rRNA from 1 species
UACGAAGGGGGCUAGCGUUGCUCGGAAUUACUGGGCGUAAAGCGCACGUAGGCGGCUUUCUAAGUCGGGGGUGAAAUCCUGGGAGCUCAACUCCAGAACUGCCCUUUGAUACUGAGGAUCUUGAGUUCGGGAGAGGUGAGUGGAACUGCGAGUGUAGAGGUGAAAUUCGUAGAUAUUCGCAAGAACACCCGUGGCGAAGGCGGCUCUCUCGGGACGGUACUGACGCUGAGACGCGAAAGCGUGGGGAGCGAACAGGA